rnacentral:rRNA from 1 species
GGGCCCGCACAAGCGGCGGAGCAUGCGGAUUAAUUCGAUGCAACGCGAAGAACCUUACCAAGGCUUGACAUAUAGAGGAAAAGUGCAGAAAUGCACUCCCCGCAAGGUCUCUAUACAGGUGGUGCAUGGUUGUCGUCAGCUCGUGUCGUGAGAUGUUGGGUUAAGUCCCGCAACGAGCGCAACCCUCGUCCUAUGUUGCCAGCACGUAAUGGUGGGAACUCAUGGGAUACUGCCGGGGUCAACUCGGAGGAAGGUGGGGAUGACGUCAAAUCAUCAUGCCCCUUAUGUCUUGGGCUUCACGCAUGCUACAAUGGCCGGUACAGAGGGCUGCAAUACCGCAAGGUGGAGCGAAUCCCAAAAAGCCGGUCAGCAUACUGCGGUGAAUACGUUCCCGGGCCUUGUACACACCGCCCG